UGGUUGUUGACGUCCCUGAAGCCAUAGAAGUUGUUGAUGUCCCUGAAACCAUAGAAGUUGAAGUAAAAGUUGGAAGUACAAUGGUGGUUGUACUUGUAGGUGCUGCAGUUGUAGUCAUUGUUGGAGCAACAAUUGUGGUCGUUGUUGUAGGACCUGCAGGUUGAAUUGCCAUGCUAGAAGCUACAGUGGUGGUGGUGGCUGUAAGAGCUGGAGUUGCCAUUGUUGGAGCUAAAUUUGUAGUUGUCAUUAUGGCAGCUGAAGUUGUGGUUGUCAUAGUAGAAGAUACAGUUGUGGUGGUUAUAGAAGCUUCAGUUAUGGUUGUGGAAGUAGGAGCUUCUAUGGUGCUGUUGAUAGUAGGAGCAGUGGUAGUUCUCGUAAAAGCUGCAGUUGUGGUUGUCGUAGGAGCUGCAGUUGUCGUAGAAGCUGCAGUUGUCGUAGGUGCUGCAGUUGUCGUAGUACGUGCAAUUGUAGUUUCUGUAGCAAGUGCUCUAGUUGUAGUUGUUGUAAUAUCUACAAAUGUUGUAGUAAGAGCUGCAGUGGUUGUCGUAGGCGCUGCUGAUGUAGUUGUAGUAGGAGCUACAGUUGUAGUAGGAGCAGUAGCAGGUACCUCAGGUGUAAUGUUCAGAAGAGAUACAGUUGUUGUCAUACGAGCUGCAGUUGUCCUAGUAGCUGCAGUUGUCGUACGAGAUGCAGUUGUCGUAGGAGCUACAGUUGGUGUUGCAGGUGUUGCUGUUGAAGUAAUCGUAGGAGCUUCAGUUGUAGCUGUCAUAGUAGGUGUGGUUAUUAUCGGAGCUUCAGUUGUAGUAGUUGCUGCAGUUUUAGUGGUUGUAGAAGCUACAGAUAGUAUUGUUGUAGGAGCUACAGUUGUUGCUGUAGCUACAGUUGCGGUUGUCAUAUAAGGUGCUGGAGUUGUCGUUGUCAUAGGAGUUGCAGUUGUCGUUGUUGUCGUAGGAGCUAAGGUGGUGUUCGUCGUAGAAACUGAAGUUCUGGUUGUCGUAGGAGCUACAUUGGUCAGAGUAGCUGCAGUUAUCAUAGAAGUUGCAGUAGUGGUUGUCGUAGUAGGUGCAAUUGUAGUUUCUGUAGCAGGUGCUCCAGUUGUAUUUGUAGGUGUUGCUGUUGUGGCUGUAGUAAGCGCUACAGGUGUAGUGGUAAAAAGAGAUACAGUUAUUGUUGUAUGAGAUGCAGUUGUAUGAGCUGUAGUUGUCAUAGGAGCUGCAGUUGUCGUAGGAGCGGCAAUUGUCGUUGCAGGUGUUGCUGUUGUGGAGGUCGUAGGAACAUUAGUUGUAGCUGUCGUAGUAGGUUUGGUUGUGUUUGCAGCUUCAGUUGUAGUAGUUGCUGCAGUUGUAGCAGUUUUAUCUACAGUUGUUGCAGGUUCAGCUGGGGUAGUGCUCAUAAGUGCAACUAAUGUAGUAGGAUCUGCAGUUGUGGUUGUAGCAGUAGGAUCUGCAGUUGUGGUUGUCGUAGUAGUUGUUGCAAUCGUAGUGGUCGUAGGAGCUGCAGUUGUAGAAGGUGAUGCAGUAGACGUUGUCGUAGGAGCUGCAGAAGUAGUUGUUGUAGGAGCUACAGUUUUCGUAAUAGGUGCUGCAGUUGUCGUAAUAGGUGCUGCAGUUGUCGUAAUAGGUGCUGCAGUUAUCAUAGUAGGUGCUGCAGUUGUAAUAGAAGCUGCAGUUGUCAUUGUAGGUGCUGCAGUUGUAGCUGUCGUAGUAGUUGUUGUUGUUGUCGGAGCUUCAGUUGUAGUAGUUGUAGGAGCUACAUAUAGUAUUGUUGAAGGAGCUACAGAUGUUGCUUUAAGUUCUCC
ensembl:lncRNA